GACGAACGCUGGCGGCGUGCUUAACACAUGCAAGUCGAACGGAAAGGCCCUGCUUUUGUGGGGUGCUCGAGUGGCGAACGGGUGAGUAACACGUGAGUAACCUGCCCUUGACUUUGGGAUAACUUCAGGAAACUGGGGCUAAUACCGGAUCGGAGCUCCUGCUGCAUGGUGGGGGUUGGAAAGUUUCGGCGGUUGGGGUUGGACUCGCGGCUUAUCAGCUUGUUGGUGGGGUAGUGGCUUACCAAGGCUUUGACGGGUAGCCGGCCUGAGAGGGUGACCGGCCACAUUGGGACUGAGAUACGGCCCAGACUCCUACGGGAGGCAGCAGUGGGGAAUAUUGCACAAUGGGCGGAAGCCUGAUGCAGCAGCGCCGCGUGCGGGAUGACGGCCUUCGGGUAGUAAACCGCUUUCGCCUGUGACGAAGCGUGAGUGACGGUAAUGGGUAAAGAAGCACCGGCUAACUACGUG
rnacentral:rRNA from 1 species